UCAGGAAAUACUGAAAGCCACAUAUGAGAACUGCAAGGUCUUGUUAAGAUCAGACCUUAUCAAAUCUAGUUCCGAGGAGCGCUCCUUGCUAAAAAACCUAGGCAGUUGGUUGGGAAAGUUCACCAUUGGUAGGAAUCAGGCACUAAGGGCUA